rnacentral:rRNA from 1 species
GAUGAACGCUAGCGACAGGCUUAACACAUGCAAGUCGAGGGGCAUCACGGGAGUAGCAAUACAACUGGUGGCGACCGGCGCACGGGUGAGUAACGCGUAUGCAACCUACCUAUCAGAGGGGAAUAACCCGGCGAAAGUCGGACUAAUACCGCAUAAAACAGGGGCACCGCAUGGUGAUAUUUGUUAAAGAAAUUCGCUGAUAGAUGGGCAUGCGUUCCAUUAGGUAGUUGGUGAGGUAACGGCUCACCAAGCCGACGAUGGAUAGGGGAACUGAGAGGUUGGUCCCCCACACCGGUACUGAGACACGGACCAGACUCCUACGGGAGGCAGCAGUGAGGAAUAUUGGUCAAUGGGCGGGAGCCUGAACCAGCCAAGUCGCGUGAAGGAAGAAGGAUCUAUGGUUCGUAAACUUCUUUUGCAGGGGAAUAAAGUGCAGGACGUGUCCUGUUUUGUAUGUACCCUGAGAAUAAGGAUCGGCUAACUCCGUGCCAGCAGCCGCCGUAAUAC